rnacentral:lncRNA from 1 species
AUUCAUCGAAUUUAGUAUAGCAUGAUUACACCCAAAUCUGCAAGAGAUGCAAAAUUACUCCCGACAUUAUAACAUAUGCUAAAGUGCAAAGGUCUAAAACUUUACUAUAAAAAGUCCCUCAAAUAUAUUGUUAGAGAGACUCAUCUCUAAAACAAUUGACCCUUACAGAUUUGACAUUCAACUCACUCGAAGGCUAACUCUUAAGCUUUUGACAGCUCUAUUAGUCAUACUCUUGAACUAGUUUUGCAAGGUUCGGUGCAUCUUGAAUCAGCUGGACUCAGUAUAAUUUGAUCCAACACCAUCCCUUACUAAGAGAAACACUGAAUAAGACCUCCACCAGUUUUGUAUCAUAAUUAGACAACCAAAAUAUGCUUUAAUAGAUAGUUAGUUCAAUAAAAUUUGAAUAACAAGAUUUAUACAAAAAAUUAUCAUAUUAGAAGUAGAAAUUUGAGCACAUGACCUACAGAAUCAAAUAUUAUUAGGAAUAUUAAAUGUAGGAGUUCUAAAAAAGAAUUUCAAAGAAUUCGAUAUCAUAUGAUAUGAACAAACAUAAUCAAAUAUUACUUGACAUGUCAAAAAUUGUAAAGACAAAAUAAAGUGAUGCAUGCGAGAAAACUUGGUUGACUAUGGUUUCGACAUGUAUAGUAGAAAGUAUUAGGCUAAUAGAGAAAGACAAGUAGUUGCUACUGCAGCUAUCUUUCUAGCAAUUUUAUGACAUUCCUAAAUUGUAUGUUCAAUCUUAUGAUAAUAUCUACAAACUAGGUUUUUACGCUCUUUAUUUUGAGAGUGAUUUGAUUGAUCUAAAUACUUUGGUAAGCAUAAGUGUGUUUUAUUUCUUAAUGGUGUUGAAGUAGUUGAAAGGAUAGACUCAUUUUGAACUAGUUGAUAAUCAUACAAUGAUGUCUUAUGAGUUUCUCGGAUAAAACUUUUGAAAGGGCAAUAAAGAGGCCCCAACAAGCUCAAAAUCAUCAUUUAAAGUAAUUAAAAAUGGAUUAAAUCUUAGUAUAUCAUGAUAUAUCUCUAAUAAUGCAAUAUCAUUUUUUACAUUCCCAUCAAGGUUCACACAAAGCAAGUUGAUACCAAUGAGAUGCCAUUUGAGAACAAAACUCAUUAACAUAUGCACGUGGGGAUUUUUUCAUAUGAUGCAAAUUGGAAAUAUGAUAUUAUUGAGUUAGGUCUCAGGAUCACAAAUAGAUUAAAACUCUCAAAGAUUUUUUGUUGUAUCAAAACGAUCCUAUUAAUGGAUGCAAUUGAGAUAUUAGUUAUCUAUGUAAUAAUCUUAUAAUUAUUGUUAUCUUAC